GAUGAAGAACGUAGCGAAAUGCGAUAAGUAGUGUGAAUUGCAGAAUUCAGUGAAUCAUCGAAUCUUUGAACGCACAUUGAGCCCCUUGGUAUUCCAUGGGGCAUGCCUGUUCGAGCGUCAUUUGUACCUUCAAGCUUUGCUUGGUGUUGGGUGUUUGUCCAUUCUCUUGCAGAGGGACUCGCCUUAAAGUAAUUGGCAGCCAGUGUUUUGGUUUUGAAGCGCAGCACAAGUCGCGAUUCAAAGCUAUACGCCCGCUUCCACAAGCCUUUUUCACUUUUGACCUCGGAUCAGGUAGGGAUACCCGCUGAACUUAAGCAUAUCAAUAAGCGGAGGA
rnacentral:misc_RNA from 1 species